rnacentral:snRNA from 1 species
AUACCUUCUCUGCCUUUUGGCUAAGAUCAAGUGUAGUAUCUGUUCUUAUCAGUGUGAAAACUGAUAUUCACCCUACUGGGGUGAUUUGUUUUCAUGCAAAUUUUUUUUGGGGGGAAGGAUCACAAGUGCUUGCGCUUGCCCUUCCGCAGUCGUCUUGGGCUUACACGAUUCCCUUGUAUGGCUAACCCUA